GUAGUGCACUAUAUAGGGGAUAGGGUGCCGUUUGAAAAACAGCAGGGCUCGGCCUCACAAGAAACCGAUGAAAGAUAUGAAUUUGUGCAAAUUGUGAAGCAUUAAUAAAAAUACUGGAAAAACUUGAAUUUAUUAAAACAAAUAAAAAAUAAAAAAAAUGCAUCAUUAGAAAGCCAACAUUAUUUGACGAUGUCAUACUAAGUGAAAGACAACAUUCUAUAUAAUUCACAUGACUCUGAAAAUAAAAAUAAAAUGUCCAUGAGAGGCGAAUGGCUGGGGGUGACUGGUAGUAUCAGGGGGUGACUGGUAGUAGCAGGGGGUGACUGGUAGUAGCAGGGGGUAAUAGGGGGUAGCAGGGGGUAAUAGGGUAUCAGGGGGUGACUGGUAGUAGCAGGGGGUAAUAGGGUAUCAGGGGUGAGUGGUAGUAGCAGGGGGUAAUAGGGUAUCAGGGGUGAGUGGUAGUAGCAGGGGGGUGGGGGGUAAUAGGGUAUCAGGGGGUAACUGGUAGUAGCAGGGGGUAAUAGGGUAUCAGGGGGUGAGUGGUAGUAGCAGGGGGGGGUAACUGGUAGUAGCAGGGGGUAAUAGGGUAUCAGGGGGUAACUGGUAGUAGCAUGGGGGUAAUAGG
ensembl:lncRNA